rnacentral:rRNA from 1 species
AUACAUAGGUAACAGAGGCGAACCGGGAGAACUGAAACAUCUAAGUACCCCGAGGAAAAGAAAUCAACCGAGAUUCCCUCAGUAGCGGCGAGCGAACGGGGAUUAGCCCUUAAGCAUCUUGGAAGUUAGUGGAACGGUCCUGGAAAGGCCGGCGAUACAGGGUGAUAGCCCCGUACACGAAAACAACCUUGAUGUGAAAUCGAGUAGGGCGGGACACGUGACAUCCUGUCUGAAUAUGGGGGGACCAUCCUCCAAGGCUAAAUACUCCUGACUGACCGAUAGUGAACCAGUACCGUGAGGGAAAGGCGAAAAGAACCCCUGUGAGGGGAGUGAAAUAGAACCUGAAACCGUGUACGUACAAGCAGUGGGAGCCCUUCGGGGUGACUGCGUACCUUUUGUAUAAUGGGUCAGCGACUUACAUUUUGUAGCGAGGUUAACCGUAUAGGGGAGCCGUAGGGAAACCGAGUCUUAACUGGGCGUCUAGUUGCAAGGUGUAGACCCGAAACCGGGUGAUCUAGCCAUGGGCAGGUUGAAGGUUGAGUAACAUCAACUGGAGGACCGAACCCACUAACGUUGCAAAGUUAGGGGAUGACCUGUGGCUGGGGGUGAAAGGCCAAUCAAACUCGGAGAUAGCUGGUUCUCCCCGAAAGCUAUUUAGGUAGCGCCUCGGACGAAUACUACUGGGGGUAGAGCACUGUUUGGGCUAGGGGGUCAUCCCGACUUACCAACCCCAUGCAAACUCCGAAUACCAGUAAGUAAUAUCCGGGAGACACACGGCGGGUGCUAACGUCCGUCGUGAAGAGGGAAACAACCCAGACCGCCGGCUAAGGUCCCAAAGUUCUGGUUAAGUGGGAAACGAUGUGGGAAGGCUCAGACAGCUAGGAUGUUGGCUUAGAAGCAGCCAUCAUUUAAAGAAAGCGUAAUAGCUCACUAGUCGAGUCGGCCUGCGCGGAAGAUGUAACGGGGCUCAAACCA